GCAAACAUUUAUUGAUUUAAUCUUCCUGACGACUCAGGAAGACGGCAGCGAGCUGUUUCUCAGGUGAGGAAAUCAGCUCUGUAUUGGAUAAGUUGCAUACCAUCCAAAUAAUCGGUACUGGCAUCGUCCCUUGAAUGCCGGAUUUUCUGAUAGCUACUUAUCUGCCCCAUCCAUUUUAUUACCUGUAACUGUGGACAGGGCAGCAGUAUUCUUUCUGGUGUAAUGUGCUACUUCUCAGCUAUUCCUCAGCACAGCCCAAGUAUUAUUACCCAGAUGAAAACACACUGAUAGGAUCCCAUCCGAUCCAAAACUUGAGAGAGGCUUCAGGAGAGAAGAAGCCAUGUCUUAAGCAUCAUGACAGCCCAGAGCACAGUCAACACACGAAAGCAUAAGUGGGUAGAGAUUUGAACUGACUAAAGCUCCAAAGAACUAUAACUUAAUAAAAUUACAUUACACACACACACACACACACUCCAUCUUUAAAUAGUCUAUUUAAAAUUGUAUGUGCUUUUAACAGAGGCUAUCACAAUAUAAGGUAUGUUUCAGGAUAACAUUGAGUGUCCACACUGCACUCUGUGCUAUCCCAAGGAUUUUACUCAUACUAGGUUAUCUUGGGAACAAGUCUAAGCAGGCACUGGCACUUCAAUUACUUUACAGAGGACAAAACUGACUGAAGUUAACUUUCCCUGGGGUACAGCUGGUGAGUAGUGGGUAGUGGUUUGAGCUUGGUGACAUUCAGAGUAUGUGUUCGUAACUGUUCUUAUGCCCUGUCCCCACGGACUGAAUAUCAGACAUUGCCCUCAGGCCUCACUGAAUCUUCCCAAUAGCCCAGCAACAGACUUACACUCAUAGAAACUGGCGGUGGCCUGGCCAGUUGCAGUUCAAUAUUCUAGAGUAUAUAAAGCAACCUAAUUGAAUUGUUGACAACUAUCUUAUUCCAUGGAGAACACUCAUCCUGUAACAAGUGAACAAGUUGUUGAAAGAAAAUGAAAAUAUGGUUACAUUUUGUUUUUGAUAAUGAAAACUUUGGCUUUAUGGCCCAUUAACCUUGUCAUUGGCCACACUUUAUUUUCGCCACAUACAAGCUCACAGCCUCGGUGCUACUUUUCAUCGGUUGUCAUUAAGUCAUUUUAUGUCCAUCUAGCAUCCACUGGUAUUUCCAUUUUACAAAGAACUGUGAAGGGACAUUUACAAGGUCUUGAAUUCUUAAUUAUUUUAUUACCCUCCCAAUCUAUGUUUUUCAUCGAGUUUGACCAUAAGUACAAUAGCGCAGCGUCUGGCUCUAAGAUCAGAGCACGGUGGCCAUUCCAGGACUCUGCUUAACUGGCGCUCACAUUUCCCUUACUGCCUAACUGACCCUCUUUGAUGACCGCCCCUCUUGUCAGCAUGUAUAAAAAGGCUCAUGUCUAUGUAUAAGUAUUUUCCCGCGCCCAGCUCUCCCACUGCCUAGCAUCUUAACUCUCCUAUGCAUAGCCAAUCAUUCAAAAUCCCAAUCAACAGGGCAUAAGGCAUAGCUGCUGUGCCACCAUAAUUCCAGUGCUUGGCAGGUCUUCCAUAAUACUUCUCUCAUUUAACAGUGGUGCUUUUUUAAAUGGAAGACCAAUAGGAAAAGUGACAAAUACUUCAGUGGGCUCAUUAUAAAACAGAGCAGCCAACAGUAAAAUAAGUGUGAAGAGGGCUCAACUUCAUAAAGCACAAGACAAAUGAAAGUCUCAAAGACCACACAUUAUAUGUAAUCAGUAGAUGGCCAGAAGUAUUAUGCCAGAGAGGGGCAACUGGAUCCUACAUGCAUUGCCAAAAGGAGGGAAGCUGCUCUCCCCUUUUAAAAAGGCAAGUGGAAGGAGAUACUAGAAUUGAUACAGGAGUUCUUGAAGCAGUAACCCCACCCCUGGGCUAUACCCUACAGAUGUGAAUAAUGGUGUACACAGAAGUCCUGGUCAUUGUACAAAGAACCCAAAUUCAUGGAUGGUAAAAUGUCUAAAGGAUAUUCAUACAAUGGAAUUCAGCACUGUCAUGGGAACAAAUGACUGAUACACACAGUAUAAAUUAAUCUCAUUAGCAUAUACUGAGUGAAAUAAGACAGACACACACAAAAGCAGAACAUAUGAUCUCAUAGCUAUCAAUUAUAGGAACAGAGAGAACCAAGACAGGCAGCGUGAAAAGCCAGGAUGUAGCUACUCUUGGGUUCUAUAGAGGGUAAACAGGGGGAAGAGAGUGCCCUUAGAAUGCUGAGCACAUUCUAGAUUUUGGUAGAACUGCUGCUCAAUUUUUAAAACAUUUUACAGCCCUUUCUGUCUGUUUUAUUAUACACCACACACACAGACACACAGACACACACACACACACACACACACACACAAUGUGAGCAGGACUCAGAGUCCUCAGCUUUCUUUGCCACAAGCGUACCCUGAGCACCAUGCUUUGAAUGCACUUGUGUACACAUCCCUUCUGACAGACGAGAUGUUGCCAUGGAGCUGAAGCCUCUGUAGUUUAGAGCAACAUCCCGCUAUUAUACAUCUACAGCAGAGGUAAGAGUCAGUGUGGUGAUAACUGCUCCUGCAUCUCAACUUUCCUCUUGACUUGAUGCUUCUUAACUUCACAGUUCGAUGCCAUAAAAGCACCUAAUGAACCUAUUCUUGCUUUUCUAACAUUCAUAUACCAAUACUUGAGCGCCUAUGUGGUACAUAAGCUUCCCUCAGCCCUGCCCCUUCUAGUAGGUGUUUAUGAUGGAACAGUAUCCAGGGAAGCUUGUGAGAAAUGUAAAUACAAAUAAAUCCGUAUUUAAUAAGUAUAGUGAGAUACAUACCAAACAUCUUGUAACUGGUAUGUGUGAACUCUGGCACGAUAAAUCUAAAUAUUAUUAUAUUGCGAUAAUGGCUUUUCAAGUAUGUUUCAACAAUCAAAAUCAUGUUUAGAAUACAUUUCCAAAUAUACGUACAUGCCUAUAAGUUCCUUUAGGACCUUGUUUCAAAGCUCAGCUACUAUCCUGCAGUUUGAAAGCUAAGUAACAGAAUCUGAAAAAAACACAGUGAUCUCCUUGCACAAACUGUACCUCUAACCAUAGCUCCUUUUUAGGCAUAGCAUCUGAACUUUUGCAAAAAGAAGCUCAAAGGGGUUAAGAAAAGGGAGAUUGCAUUUCCUACCUGGAUACCUGCUUCUGGUCCUAGUCACAACUUCUCAUAAUCUUGAAUCUCAAUUUCUCAGGUGAAUUCACCAAUCUGACAACGGACCGCCGGCCGCGGCAGCCGCAGCGGUGGCCCGGCGGUGCGCGCCGGUGCACGUCCCUC
ensembl:lincRNA Gm26835 predicted gene, 26835